rnacentral:rRNA from 1 species
UACGGGGGGGGCUAGCGUUGUUCGGAAUUACUGGGCGUAAAGGGCGCGUAGGCGGUCUAUUAAGUUGGACGUGAAAACUCUGGGCUUAACCCAGAGCCUGCAUUCAAAACUGAUAGGCUGGAGUUCUGGAGGGGAUAGCGGAAUUCCUGGUGUAGCGGUGAAAUGCGUAGAUAUCAGGAGGAACACCGGUGGCGAAGGCGGCUAUCUGGACAGAAACUGACGCUGAGGCGCGAAAGCUAGGGGAGCAAACAGG